CCAACCUCCACCACAACCACCUUCAACCACCAACAUCAUUAUGACCGGACCACCUCUACAAAGUGCAACUAACCAUCGCAAACAAUCUCCGCACCACGAGAUCUUUAUGACUGGACCACCCAACUCAUCUUCGCAUACACAUCCACUUCCACCUCCAACAACCACUCUCUCUCUACAACUCAACAAUAGCAAUCCGCCACCACCACCACCCCACAUGGGUCAAGGGGCGGACCCACAUAGAGUGAGUUGGGGUCCGCGGACCCUAAUGUUUUUAAAAAAAUUAGUAGAUUUGGUAUAUUAAACUGUUUAAGGACCCCAUAAAUAAAAUUAGGUGAACACCAUAGAAAGAAAAGGAAAAUUGGUGUAGUGAUAAGUCCUCCUCUUUACCAACAACAGGUCAUGGUUCAAUCCUUGUAUAGCCUUUUUUUUUAAAUCUUGUUCAAACCUUGCUCUGACCUGACCCGAAAGUUUUAACGUUUUGUUAUGAAAAUUUUAAACACCGAAAAAAAUGGACCCAUUGAAAAAAAAUCCUGGUCCGCCGCUGCAUGGGUCCCGGCUGCACUGUUGACGGAAUCGGAGACUUCGUCACCCUCGAAAUCGACCCACAAACCCCACCGGGAGAACUCUCAAUCUCCGACAUCACCGGAACAGGACUCUGCUGCCCAUACAAUUUGCUGACAGAAUGAUGCUGAUGUGCAUGGGAAGCUUUUAAGGGCGGGAGGGGACGGCCGACCCCCCGAACUUUUAGCUCACUAAUAGAGAGUAUGUAGUUUUCGUAUAUAAAUUUUUGGGUAUAUACGUUUUCGACCCCCUAGUUUUAUUGAAAUUUUUAGGUCUGGUGACUUCCGCAACCCCGGUCGGAAAUCUCAAGCUUCGCCACUGCUGAUGUGUACAGCAACAUAUAUGCCAGUCUUAUGCGGAGGAAACGAAGAAGUUUCUAUUCCAAGUAAUUUUAUAUGUUCUAAUUUGUAUGUAUAGUAUAUUCAUGGUUGAAUUAUAGCCUUGACUAGGCUGUUUCAGGUGCCCAGUAUGUUAUUGUUUAGUUACUUUACAUUCUUCUUGAUAUCCACUUGAAAGGCUGAAGCCUAUGCUACACUAGAGGUGCAAACCAUAAACUGGGUUAGAAACCAAACCCAAGAAACCAACCCGGGUUGAACCGAUUUAUAGCUAACCCGGUUUGUGGAAUUUGAGAUCAUUAUAAAGUUUUGAGUUGUUUGUGGUAUUCGAUAUGUGGGUCUCUCUUUAGAACUAGAAAAAGGGUUACCGUUUGAAUGAAGAUCGAAUGCCCAUAAAUUUGUAAGUUCUCCUAUUUGCUAAAAGGUGGCUAUGGUGGAGAUCUUGUUGAAGAUGAUUAGGAGUUGCAGGCAAAGACGACAACAAACAUUCGGUGUUGCACUUUCAGUCCCUUAGGGGGCUUUUGGUCUUUUACCAUAAAAGCCAACAUUAAACUAACAGACGUUUGUCCCAGGGACUUGAUUGCUAGCAAUUGACAACCACAGGAACUGGACUGUUGAAUUUUUUCAAAUGAGGGCUGAACCUGCGAUUGGGUGUAAACCCCAUGGAUUGAAUUUGUACUUUACUCUUUUAAAUAUUAACGUUUUGCA